UAUUAUACUAAAAUAUUAAAGGAAACUAGAAUACUAUAAGAUAUAUUCUUUAAAUUCAAAGAAUUUGGCGGUAAUUUAGUCUUUCCAGAGGAACCUGUUUUUUAAUCGAUAAACCACGAAGAAUCUUACUUAUCUUGAUUAUUAAAGCUUGUAUACCGUCAUUAUCAGAUAAUAUUUAAAGAUAAAAUUAUUGAAUUUUAAAUAGUAAAAAAAAUUAGAUCAAGGCGCAGCUUAUGGAUAAGUUAAAAUGGGUUACAAUUAAGUAAUAUAAUAAUGAAGCAAGAUUUGAAAAAGUCUUGUGAAGGAGGAUUUGGUUGUAAUUUUAAAUUAAUAAGAUAAAAAGAUAUAAGCUCUAAAUUAU
rnacentral:rRNA from 1 species